rnacentral:lncRNA from 1 species
AGAUUUACCUAGUGUUGAAUGUAGUAAGACAUGCCUGCUGUUAAUAGCCUGAGUUUUAGAGCAUUCAAAAGGGAAUUAUGCUUACUUUGAAAAUCUGACUUCCCUUCCCUUCCUGAUGAAAUUUUUAGAGGUGUCUGCUACCCAUAUGUGUGUUUAAAACCAUUAUUUGUUACUAAUAUUUGAAAGCAAUUCUCUGAAAUAAUCAGUAAAUACAAGUGUGUAAAACUUAAUGAGAAAAAAAAAAAUUAAUGAGCCCCAUAUCCCAUAUAGUCUUCUACAAAAAAGAUACAGCUGUUUAGAAAAAAAAGAAGUUGCAUUCCUUCCUUAUUCCAAAGUUUUUGACACUUGAUAAUUCUUAAGUUACUGUUAACAGUUCAGACCCUAAAUACUUGAACAGCUAGUGACCAGGAUAACCAGAUUAUUAAC